GGCACACCACUGUCCCCUAUUCUGAGGGUUGUAAUAAGUGGUCAUCACGCAGAAUGGAGAGUGAACCUUACUAGACAUUGUCACAAGUGGGAAGAGGUAACAGACAUCAUGCUGGAGUGAGGUGAUUGUAAAAGAGGUAAUAAGGAGAUCUCCAGAAACUGUUUCCUGGAAUUGAUGAAGUGUGCCACACAUAAGAGUAAGGUAAAACAUGAAAAAUGGCCAGGCGUCAUGGCCCUUUCCAGCCCUAAACAUAUGGUUGUGUUGGUUUAAUGUUAGAGAAAAUGAGCAUAACCAAGAAAGAAAGAUCUUUUUUUUUUUUUUUUUGAAACGGAGUCUCGCUCUGUCGCCCAGGAAAGCAUCUUAAUAGUAUUCCAAGGGUGUUGGUGUUUCUCAAGACAGCUGAGAUUUCCUCCCAUCUCCCAUCUAAUGGAUUCACACUCAGAAAAGUAACCAUAACUUUUCAGGGUAAUAUUCUGAGUGCACAGGUUUCUCUGAGAAGGGUCCAGGUGCCGCCAUUCCUCUCUGCUGAAAUCGAUAGCCACAUCCCUGAAGGACACUGAUCCCUGUAAGGGCAAAUUCCUGUUAAAUGUGCACAGUCAGCUUAGACGGUUGGAGAGACUAUAUUUAGGAAUAUGGAAUACAGGUCCCAGCUUUUACCAAAGAAUUC
rnacentral:lncRNA from 1 species